rnacentral:rRNA from 1 species
CAGUCGCCGCGGUAAUACGUAGGGUGCAAGCGUUAAUCGGAAUUACUGGGCGUAAAGCGUGCGCAGGCGGUUUUGUAAGACAGAGGUGAAAUCCCCGGGCUCAACCUGGGAACUGCCUUUGUGACUGCAAGGCUAGAGUACGGCAGAGGGGGAUGGAAUUCCGCGUGUAGCAGUGAAAUGCGUAGAUAUGCGGAGGAACACCGAUGGCGAAGGCAAUCCCCUGGGCCUGUACUGACGCUCAUGCACGAAAGCGUGUGGAGCAAACAGGAUUAGAUACCCCCGUAGUCCCUGUCUCUUAUAC